rnacentral:rRNA from 1 species
GAUCCUGGCUCAGGACGAACGCUGGCGGCGCGCCUAACACAUGCAAGUCGAACGGAGCUUAAAGAGCUUGCUUUUUAAGCUUAGUGGCGAACGGGUGAGUAACGCGUGAGUAACCUGCCCUGGAGUGGGGGACAACAGUUGGAAACGACUGCCAAUACCGCAUAAGCCCACGGAUUCGCAUGGAUCUGCGGGAAAAGGAUUUAUUCGCUUCAGGAUGGACUCGCGUCCAAUUAGCUAGUUCGGUGAGG